rnacentral:rRNA from 1 species
CAGGGCAUGGUCUAAGGUAUAAGGCAAUUAUACCGUGAAACUGCGAAUGGCUCAUUAAAUCAGUUAUCGUUUAUUUGAUAGUACCUUACUACUUGGAUAACCGUGGUAAUUCUAGAGCUAAUACAUGCUUACAACCUCGACUUCGGAAGGGGUGUAUUUAUUAGAUAAAAAACCAACGCCCUUCGGGGCUUCUUGGUGAUUCAUGAUAACUUUACGGAUCGCAUGGCCUUGCGCCGGCGACGGUUCAUUCAAAUUUCUGCCCUAUCAACUUUCGAUGGUAAGGUAUUGGCUUACCAUGGUUUCAACGGGUAACGGGGAAUUAGGGUUCGAUUCCGGAGAGGGAGCCUGAGAAACGGCUACCACAUCCAAGGAAGGCAGCAGGCGCGCAAAUUACCCAAUCCCAAUACGGGGAGGUAGUGACAAUAAAUACUGAUACAGGGCUCUUUUGGGUCUUGUAAUUGGAAUGAGUACAAUUUAAACCUCUUAACGAGGAACAAUUGGAGGGCAAGUCUGGUGCCAGCAGCCGCGGUAAUUCCAGCUCCAAUAGCGUAUAUUAAAGUUGUUGCAGUUAAAAAGCUCGUAGUUGAACCUUGGGUCUGGCUGGCAGGUCCGCCUCACCGCGUGUACUUGUCCGGCCGGGCCUUCCUUCUGGAGAACCUCAUGCCCUUCACUGGGCGUGUUGGGGACCAGGACUUUUACUUUGAAAAAAUUAGAGUGUUCAAAGCAGGCCUUUGCUCGAAUACGUUAGCAUGGAAUAAUAGAAUAGGACGUGCGGUCCUAUUUUGUUGGUUUCUAGGACCGCCGUAAUGAUUAAUAGGGACAGUCGGGGGCAUCAGUAUUCAAUUGUCAGAGGUGAAAUUCUUGGAUUUAUUGAAGACUAACUACUGCGAAAGCAUUUGCCAAGGAUGUUUUCAUUAAUCAGUGAACGAAAGUUAGGGGAUCGAAGACGAUCAGAUACCGUCGUAGUCUUAACCGUAAACUAUGCCGACUAGGGAUCGGGCGAUGUUAUUUUUCUGACUCGCUCGGCACCUUACGAGAAAUCAAAGUUUUGGUUCUGGGGGGAGUAUUCCCCCCG